ACAAAUAAGAAUAAUUUAAAUGCGUCAAAUCUAAAAUAUGGUGUAGAGUAAAUAUAAGCACAGGCUCAUAGGCUUGACAUUUAUCCUGCUUGAAUUCGUUCUAAGAAACGCACACAUCUUCAUAAGGACUAAACUUUCAUCUGUGAAUAUUAAAUAUUUUAAUUAGCCUAAAGUGUUUUCCUUUCAUUUUCCCCGACUGCAGUCAAAUAUAACAAAACGGUGAGGCAAAGCUGACGUCUAUUCGCGAAAAUGUGCUUUGAUGCGCUUGUUUGAAAACUUGUGAUUAAAGCGCCAUUCAGCGGACAUGUAAACUUGCAAAACAUCACUAUAUUUACUUGUAAAACCAUGUCCUACAUAGGAGUUUGUUUGACCUGUUAGCCAUCUUCCAUGUUUUAGACCUCUGGCAGAGGUGUCUUUGGGGGACAUUGGUCAGCAGCACAAGAAACGUCACAGAAGUCCUCCAGCAAAAUAGAUGAGGAGGGCCUAGAACUUGCAGUUUGCCAGCAUGGUGUUCUUCUUUGUGCCCUUAAUAUGUUCAGGGGGAGGUUUUUGCUUACCCCUGUACCUCCAGAAAAAAAAUGGCUUGUAAGCCGGUGAAAUUUUUUGCUAUGGAUGUUGCGUGCAAGUACUGGCCUUACCUCCAGAGAGGGAACGAGAGAUGCCCUGAGCUUCAGGAUCUGCUCUCAAUGAAGCCAUUUCUAUCAGUGUUUCAUGCCAAAGCCCACGACUUCAAAUGUGAGGUAAAAUGGAGUGGGGCAUACCAGGAGGGGGCUGGUUUGACUCUUGGGGAGGAGGUGGAGCAAUGCAAUGCCUUCCUCUCGAGGAUUGCUGUUACGACAAAGCACAUGUCAAAAGCAGGACGCACAGACAUGCUCACAGUCAUGGCCAUGUGCUGGAAUCAGCAAAAGUUUAACAACUUGGCUUCAACACUUGCCUGCCGAUAUCAAAAGGCCACAAUAGCUCUGCAAAGACAGUUGCAUAAUUUGGAGGCCAUGAAAACUGAAAUGGCAGUUACAGAUGAUCAACUGGAGGGCUGGAUCACUGAUGUCAAUGAGUGGGCAGAAGCAACAACAUCCCCAAAUGAUGCUGAUGUUGCUGUUGUGGCCAGACGAAUUGAGGAGCUGGUCACCAAGGAGGUCCCAACGUCUUUAUAAAGACAUUGAUGGCUGCAAAGGUCGUGUCCGGAUACGCCAAAAGAUCAGGGAGGAAAAGAAAUGUUUAAUUCUGUGGUGGAUCAAUAUAACACCAUGGUCCCUAAUGCAGAAAACCUGGACUUGGACACCAUACUUUCAGACGACACCCUUUGGCCAUGGCAGCUUCCACAUGGUGACUCCGUAGGUCUAAGGACAAAGAGAAAGGCAUUUGACACAGUGAUGGCAGUAAGGAGACUUGAGGAGGAGAAGAGGAUUCUCAUUGCUGAGAUGGAAAAACACUGGAAAUCUCUUUGCACCGUGCAGACACUCCAAAGGAGAUGACAUCCCAGCUUUGCAGUGGGACAUCAAGUAUGUAUUUUAAGUUAUACUUGACAUGCAUUAUAUUUACCAGUAUGUUUCUGAAAGUCUGUAAUAUUUUUUCCCCGUAUAUAAGGUGAGAUGUGGGGCCUGAGUAAUGAGGGAAUCCAAGGUCUGCAGAGCUUAAUGAUGAAGAACACACAAGCCAUCAACAAAAUACUGAAGUGCAACAUCCAAUUUCCGUACAUGUGUUUACAUCAUUGUUUAGAUAACUCUCAAAAGAUCUUUUGUUCAGUCCAGUAUCAAUGAUUUCUAGAAAAAUACAUUUUGACAUGAGUUUCUUCAUGGUCGAACUCACAUGGCCUUUAGCACAGAUAAGUCUUCUCAAUAAAAUUCUUCUAAGCCCAGUAUACA
ensembl:lncRNA